AUUGAACGCUGGCGGAAUGCUUUACACAUGCAAGUCGAACGGCAGCACGGACUUCGGUCUGGUGGCGAGUGGCGAACGGGUGAGUAAUGUAUCGGAACGUGCCCAGUCGUGGGGGAUAACGUAGUGAAAAUUACGCUAAUACCGCAUACGAUCUAUGGAUGAAAGCGGGGGAUCGCAAGACCUCGCGCGAUUGGAGCGGCCGAUAACAGAUUAGGUAGUUGGUGGGGUAAAGGCCCACCAAGCCAACGAUCUGUAGCUGGUCUGAGAGGACGACCAGACACACGGGAACUGAGACGCGGUCCAGACUCCUACGGUAGGCAGCAGUGGGGAAUUUUGGACAAUGGGCGAAAGCCUGAUCCAGCCAUUCCGCGUGCAGGAUGAAGGCCCUCGGGUUGUAAACUGCUUUUGCACAGAACGAAAAGGUUUCUACUAAUACUAGGAGCUCAUGACGGUACUGUAAGAAUAAGCACCGGCUAACUACGUGCCAGCAGCCGCCGUAA
rnacentral:rRNA from 1 species